ACUUCUAAAGGAAAGUAGUUAUC
rnacentral:tRNA from 1 species